rnacentral:rRNA from 1 species
UACGGAGGGUGCAAGCGUUGUCCGGAAUCACUGGGCGUAAAGGGCGCGUAGGCGGCCCGGUAAGUAGGGGGUGAAAUCCUGCGGCUUAACCGCAGGGCUGCCUUCUAAACUGUCGGGCUCGAGCACGGUAGAGGCAGAUGGAAUUCCCGGUGUAGCGGUGGAAUGCGUAGAGAUCGGGAAGAACAUCAGUGGCGAAGGCGGUCUGCUGGGCCGUUGCUGACGCUGAGGAGCGAAAGCGUGGGGAGCGAACAGG